UACGAAGGGGGGCUAGCGUUGCUCGGAAUCACUGGGCGUAAAGCGCACGUAGGCGGCUUUCUAAGUCAGGGGUGAAAUCCUGGAGCUCAACUCCAGAACUGCCUUUGAUACUGAAGAUCUUGAGUUCGGGAGAGGUGAGUGGAACUGCGAGUGUAGAGGUGAAAUUCGUAGAUAUUCGCAAGAACACCAGUGGCGAAGGCGGCUCACUGGCCCGAUACUGACGCUGAGGCACGAAAGCGAUGGGGAGG
rnacentral:rRNA from 1 species